rnacentral:rRNA from 1 species
AUGGACAGUGGAGACGAGUUUUUCUUCCAUCACUUCCUUUGUUCAUCGGAUGAUUCGUCGUCGGAUGAUGAAGAUCUCGUGGUGGCUGCACUGGUCGUUCACGACCACAUUCAACGACAGCUUCCUCGGUACAGGGGGUUAGUCCCUAGCCGUGCUCCCAACCUGAACCGCAACAGGAAGAGAGGCCAUGCCCUGCUCUAUGCCGAUUACUUUGCCAACACCCCGCUCUUCAAGCCGGAUAAAUUUCGUCGCCGUUUUCGAAUGGCAAGGCAUGUGUUCAAUCGUAUCCGAGAGGGAGUGGUUGCUCAUGACCCAUACUUCGAGUGCAAGACGGAUACCCUUGGAAAGCUUGGAUUCUCCUCUUACCAGAAAUGCACCGCGGCCAUCCGCAUGCUUGCAUAUGGAAUUCCAGGCGAUCUGGUGGAUGAGUAUGUGUGUAUGAGUGAGACAACAUGCCUGAUGUCAAUGUACAAGUUUUGCCAAGCUGUGAUCGAGGUGUUUGGCCAAGAGUACUUCAGGAAGCCAACUGCCGCUGAUACAGAGAGAUUGUUGGUGACCAACACAGCUAGAGGCUUUCCAGGCAUGCUUGGCAGCAUAGAUUGUAUGCACUGGGAGUGGAAGAACUGUCCAUUUCCUUGGCAGGGCCAGUACAAAGGGCAUGUCAAGGCGUGCACUGUCAUAUUAGAAGCGGUGGCAUCACAGGAUCUUUGGAUAUGGCAUUCUUUCUUCGGCAUGGCAGGUUCUCACAAUGAUAUCAACGUGCUGCAGCGUUCUCCAGUCUUCGCGAGGCUUGCAGAAGGCCACUCCCCACCUAUCAACUUUGAGAUCAACGGCCACCAGUACAACAAGGGAUACUAUCUAGCAGAUGGUAUAUAUCCUCAGUGGUCAAUUUUUGUGAAGACAAUCUCGAAACCCCAAGGUGAGAAGAGAAAGAGAUUUGCCCAAAUGCAAGAGAGUGUUAGAAAGGAUGUGGAACGUGCUUUUGGUGUGCUUCAAUCCCGGUGGGGUAUCAUUCGAAACCCUGCACUGUCAUGGGAUGAAAGGAAGCUUUGGGAGGUGACGACUGCUUGUGUGAUCAUGCACAACAUGAUCGUCGAGGACGAGCGUGAUGAGAGUAUCUUCGACCAAGGAUUUGAUUAUCAAGGUGAAAAUAUUGAGCCCCUGCACCAAGACCCGACCACAUUUGAACAGUUUGCCCAAUUCCACCGUGAGAUGCGUGAUUGGCACACUCAUUUGAAUCUUCAAAAUGACUUGGUAGAGCACGUGUGGGAUCACAUUGGCAACCAAUAG